AUUGAACGCUGGCGGCAGGCCUAACACAUGCAAGUCGAACGAGUGGCGGACGGGUGAGUAAUGUCUGGGAAACUGCCCGAUGGAGGGGGAUAACUACUGGAAACGGUAGCUAAUACCGCAUACCAUCGGAUGUGCCCAGAUGGGAUUAGCUGGUAGGUGGGGUAACGGCUCCCCUAGGCGACGAUCCCUAGCUGGUCUGAGAGGAUGACCAGCCACACUGAGACUGAGACCAGGUCCAGCCUCCUACGGGAGGAAUCCGUGGGGAAUAUUGCACAAUGGGCUCAGGCCUGAUGCAGCCAUGCCGAGUGUAUGAAGAAGGCCUUCGGGUUGUAAAGUACUUUCAGCGAGGAGGGGUUACUCGCAGAAGAAGCACCGGCUAACUCCGUGCCAGCAGGCGCGGUAAUAC
rnacentral:rRNA from 1 species